ACCAGGAUGGCCGCGUGGUGAAGGCGUUGGCCUUAAGAUCCAAUGGCCUUAAGAUCCAAUGGACUCAAGUCCGCGUGGGUUCAAGUCCCACUCCUGGUA
rnacentral:tRNA from 1 species